UUUAGACAGAACAGAUCCUGAUUAAAGAAAGGAAGAUGCAGAGUGCCCUGCACUGAAUUUGUCACCAGCCAGCAGAGGGAGUGUCUGAAGCUUCAGUGCAGGAAAAUGCCACAGUUUUGUGUCAUGGGAGUGGCCCCCAUCCCUGGAUGUAUGUGACCUGAGUUUGAGAAGCAUGGACAUACAUUUGCUCACAUACUAAUAGCAGAAAAUAAGUACAGAAAAGAAGAUUAAUAUCAGAUUGUGGUUGGCCUUGAGUGUAUGUAGAAAAGGAAGGACAAUAUCUCAGGAAG
rnacentral:lncRNA from 1 species